CGAGUAUUCGAAGCCUGAAAAAUGGCAUUUGGGCCAGCCUUAAUGGUGCUGUGCUGCAUGUCUCUGUUCGGGAGCCCCAGAGGUCAUCUCCCUCUGUGUCAUCACAACCUCAGCCUCCUCACAGCUCCUGGCCCCAACGCGGCGACCCCACGCAGAGAGGUAGGCAAAACAAGAUGUACAUCGCAUAAUGUGAAAAGGAUACUGCUUCAGAGUUGAAUAGCGCUCUCUGGCUAGGGACCGUCGGAGAACUAAAUGCGUCCAGAUUGAUUCACUGGAAAUUCAUUAGGAACAUAUUGCAAUGAUAGGCUUAAUGAGAGAUAGAAAACCAG
ensembl:lncRNA